GUAGGUGGCAAGCGUUGUCCGGAAUUAUUGGGCGUAAAGCGCGCGCAGGCGGUUCUUUAAGUCUGAUGUGAAAGCCCACGGCUCAACCGUGGAGGGUCAUUGGAAACUGGAGAACUUGAGUACAGAAGAGGAAAGCGGAAUUCCACGUGUAGCGGUGAAAUGCGUAGAGAUGUGGAGGAACACCAGUGGCGAAGGCGGCUUUCUGGUCUGUAACUGACGCUGAGGCGCGAAAGCGUGGGGAGCAAACAGGAUUAGAUACCCUGGUAGUCCACGCCGUAAACGAUGAGUGCUAAGUGUUAGGGGGUUUCCGCCCCCCUUAGUGCUGCAGCUAACGCAUUAAGCACUCCGGCCUGGGAUACGGCCGCAAGGCUG
rnacentral:rRNA from 1 species